rnacentral:rRNA from 1 species
UACAGAGGGGGCAAGCGUUGUUCGGAAUUACUGGGCGUAAAGUGUGCGCAGGCGGCCGAGCAAGUCGAGUGUGAAAGCCCCGAGCUUAACUUGGGAACUGCGCUCGAAACUACUUGGCUAGAGUGUGGCAGAGGGAGGUGGAAUUCCACGUGUAGCGGUGAAAUGCGUAGAGAUGUGGAGGAACACCGAUGGCGAAGGCAGCCUCCUGGGCCAGCACUGACGCUCAUGCACGAAAGCGUGGGGAGCAAACAGG